UGGAGUAACCAGCGGCGGACGGCUGAGUAACUCGUGGGUUACCUGCCCCGCAGUGGGGGAUAACCCUCCGAAAGGAGGGCUAAUCCCGCAUACUCCCUCCCUUUUCGGGAGGGCAAAGCCUUCGGGCGCUGUGGGAGGGGCCCGCGCCCCAUUAGCUCGUUGGUGGGGUAAUGGCCCACCAAGGCCGCGAUGGGUCGCUGGUCUGAGAGGACGAUCAGCCAGACUGGGACUGAGACACGGCCCAGACUCCUACGGGAGGCAGCAGUGGGGAAUUGUUCGCAAUGGGCGCAAGCCUGACGACGCAACGCCGCGUGGAGGAUGAAGGUCUUCGGAUUGUAAACUCCUGUUGAUCGGGAAGAAUGGGCUUCGGCCGAAUACGCCGAGGUCGUGACGGUACCGAUUGAGGAAGCCACGGCUAA
rnacentral:rRNA from 1 species